rnacentral:rRNA from 1 species
UACGUAGGGGGCAAGCGUUGUCCGGAAUCAUUGGGCGUAAAGAGCGUGUAGGCGGCCCGAUAAGUCCGCUGUGAAAGUCCAGGGCUCAACCCUGGGAUGCCGGUGGAUACUGUCGGGCUCGAGUCCGGAAGAGGCGAGUGGAAUUCCUGGUGUAGCGGUGGAAUGCGCAGAUAUCGAGGAGGAACACCACGGCGAAGGCACGCGUCCUCUGGUACGUGACUGACGCUGAGACGCGAAGCGUGGGUAGCAAACAGG